GUCACGGCCGGCGGUGCGCCGGUCACAAGCCAUGUGGCGCAGCGGGUGCAGAGCCGGCGUUUCGCUGCGGAGGCUGAACGGCCGCAGCGCCAGCCUCGGAGCAUGGAGGUGGGCGAGCACCACGGCCUGUGAGAGGGCGCUGCUGCGGUACCGGGUCGGAGAGAAGAUCCACGGCUUCACUGUCAGCCAGGUAACAUCUGUUCCUGAGCUGUCCCUGACCGCCGUGAAACUCAGCCAUGACAGCACGGGAGCACAGCACUUGCACCUGGCCAGAGAGGACAGAAAUAACCUGUUCAGUGUGCAGUUCCGCACCACCCCCAUGGACAGCAGCGGUGCCCCGCACGUCCUGGAGCACACGGUCCUGUGCGGCUCUCAGAGGUACCCCUGCCGGGACCCCUUCUUCAAGAUGCUGAACAGGUCGCUGUCUACGUUCAUGAACGCCUUCACGGCUAGUGACUACACCCUGUACCCAUUUUCCACACAAAACCCCAAGGACUUCCGGAACCUCCUAUCCGUGUAUUUGGACGCAGCCUUCUUUCCCUGCUUACGGGAACUGGAUUUCUGGCAGGAAGGAUGGCGACUAGAACAUGAGGAUCCCAAUGACCCCCAGACGCCCUUGGUCUUUAAAGGAGUUGUCUUUAACGAAAUGAAGGGAGCAUUUACAGAUAACGAGAGGAUGUUCUCGCAGCACGUUCAGAGCCACCUGCUUCCCGACCACACAUACUCAGUGGUCUCCGGAGGGGACCCCUUGUGCAUCCCGGACCUCACGUGGGAGCAGCUCAGACAGUUCCACGCCACACACUACCACCCCAGCAACGCCAGGUUCUUCACUUAUGGUAAUUUUCCGCUAGAACAGCAUCUGAAACAAAUUCAUGAAGAAGCACUGAGUAAAUUUCAGAGAAUCAAGCCACAUACCACAGUGCCAGCCCAGAAGCCUUGGGAUAAGCCUAGGGAGUUCCAGAUCACGUGUGCCCCGGACUCGCUGGCCGCGGGCUCCUCAGAGCAGACGACCAUCAGUGUCAGCUUCCUCCUGCCAGACAUCACUGACACAUUUGAAGCCUUCACGUUGAGCCUUCUGUCUUCACUCUUGAUCAGUGGCCCCAACUCCCCCUUCUACAAAGCCCUCAUUGAAUCUGGACUCGGCACAGACUUUUCCCCUGACGUUGGGUACAAUGGCUGCACACGGGAGGCCUACUUCAGCGUGGGCCUGCAGGGUAUCGCAGAGAAGGACAUUCAGACAGUCCAGGACCUCGUGGAUAGGACACUGGAUGACAUCAUCGAGAAAGGAUUUGAAGAUGAUCGAAUCGAAGCCUUACUUCAUAAAAUUGAGAUACAGAUGAAGCACCAGUCUGUCAGCUUUGGACUCGCCCUGACGUCUUACGUAGCUUCCUGCUGGAAUCACGAUGGGGACCCCGUGGAGCUCCUCAAGCUCGGGAGUCAGGUGGCCCAUUUCCGGAAGUGCCUGGAGGAAAAUCCAAAAUUUUUGCAAGAAAAAGUAAAACAGUAUUUUAAGAAUAAUCAGCAUAAGUUGACUUUAUCAAUGAAACCAGACAACAAGUAUUCCGAGAAACAAAUGCAGCUGGAAACAGAAAAACUGAAGCAAAAGGUCAACUCUCUUUCCCCGGAAGACAAGCAGCAGAUCUAUGAAAAAGGUUUGGAAUUACAGGCUCAGCAAAGCCAACCUCAGGACGCGUCGUGUCUGCCCGCGUUGAAGGUGUCGGACAUCGAGCCCCGCAUCCCGUUCACUGAGGUGGAGGUGGCUCUGGCAGCUGGGGACACACCCGUCCAGUACUGCACGCAGCCCACCAAUGGCGUGAUCUACUUCAGAGCCUUCUCGAGUCUGAACACCCUGCCCGAGGAGCUCCGGCCCUAUGUGCCCCUCUUCUGCAACGUCCUCACCAAGCUGGGCUGCGGCGCCCUCGACUACAGGGAGCUGGCCCAGCAGGUGGACCUGAAGACGGGGGGCCUGGCUGCCGCCCCCCACGUGCUCCCCGACGACUCACACCUCGACACCUACGAGCAGGGUGUGCUCUUUUCAUCUUUCUGCCUUGAUAGAAACCUACCAGACAUGAUGCAUCUGUGGAGUGAAAUCUUUAACAACCCCUGCUUUGAGGCCGAGGAGCACUUCCGAGUGCUGGUGAAGAUGACAGCUCAGGAGCUGUCCAACGGGGUCCCCGACGCAGGCCACCUCUACGCGUCCAUCAGGGCAGGCAGGACGCUGGCACCCGCGGGGGACCUGCAGGAGACCUUUGGGGGGAUGGACCAGGUGAGGCUCAUGAAGAGAAUCGCAGAGAUGACGGACAUCAAGCCCAUCCUGAGGAAGCUCCCACGCAUCAGGAAGCAUCUUUUGAACCGUGAUAACUUCAGAUGUUCCGUGAAUGCUACUCCCCAGCAAAUGUCUCAGGUGGAGAAUUCGGUGGACAACUUCCUCAGGACUCUCAGCCGGAGUAAGAAGGAGUGGAAGCCUGCGCGCCCACAUGUGGUGGAGAAACCUGCACCUAAGGGACCUGGCAGGCACUCCCCAUUCACGAGGAAGCUGGUGACGGACCCCACCUUCAAGCCCUGCCCGAUGAAGACGCACUUCCAGCUCCCGUUCCCGGUCAACUACGUAGCCGAGUGUAUCCGGACUGCCCCGUACGCGGCCCCGGCCCACGCCAGUCUCAAGAUCCUGGCACGCUUGAUGACAGCGAAAUUUUUGCACACGGAAAUUCGAGAAAAAGGCGGUGCUUAUGGUGGAGGCGCCAGACUCAGCUACGGCGGGAUCUUCACGCUCUACUCAUACAGGGACCCGCAUUCCACGGAGACGCUGCAGUCCUUCCUGAGGGCCGUCGACUGGGCGAAGUCUGGGAGGUUCACGCAGCAGGACAUCAACGAGGCAAAGCUCUCUGUCUUCGCCGCCGUGGAUGCUCCGGUAGCUCCUUCAGACAAAGGCCUGGACUGCUUCCUGUAUGGCCUCUCGGAUGAGGCGAAGCAGGCGCACCGCGAGCAGCUCUUCGCUGUCAGCCACGAAGAUCUGGUUGACGUGAGCAACAGGUGCACAGCAGGGGCAGACUCAGCUCACGUCUAAAGACUCAGGUGCGCAUCCACCCCCGCCCCGAGGGGUAUCACCUUACCUGGCGCCCUAGUCCAGGGCCCUCCUGGUGCACUUGACAGAAAAAUGAUGUAAGAAAAUGAGGGGAUGAAGUCAAGGUAUCGGCACAAAUAACCGACGUCUGGAGUGAAGGGAGGACGAAGUGCUGCGGGCACUGAGAAGAAGAGGGUAUUACGAAGAUUUUCAUGCUAAAUUUUCUGAAAAUUUAGAUAAAUUUAGAAUUUCGUGGAAGAUAAAAGACAGAUUCAAGGAACAAACACCAGCAGGUCUAUAAACACUGAAGAAAUUCUGCCGUCAGCUUUCCCUGCAUAGAAAGCAGAGCUGGGAUACAGGUAGAGGUUUAGCAAACAUCCAAAAAUCAAAACAAAACUUGCCUUAGAAAUGCUCUGCCCAGGGAACCACCCCACCCCAGCCUCUUAGACGCUAGAACAAGGCUGCCCCCCCCC